GACCAGACUCCUACGGGAGGCAGCAGUGGGGAAUAUUGCGCAAUGGGGGAAACCCUGACGCAGCAACGCCGCGUGAGUGAAGAGGUAUCUCGGUAUGUAAAGCUCUAUCAGCGGGGAAGAAGGAAGACGGUACCCGACUAAGAAGCCCCGGCUAACUACGUGCCAGCAGCCGCGGUAAUACGUAGGGGGCAAGCGUUAUCCGGAUUUACUGGGUGUAAAGGGAGCGUAGACGGCGAUGCAAGUCCGAAGUGAAAGGCGGGGGCCCAACCCCCGGACUGCUUUGGAAACUGUAUGGCUGGAGUGCAGGAGAGGUAAGUGGAAUUCCUAGUGUAGCGGUGAAAUGCGUAGAUAUUAGGAGGAACACCAGUGGCGAAGGCGGCUUACUGGACUGUAACUGACGUUGAGGCUCGAAAGCGUGGGGAGCAAACAGGAUUAGAUACCCUUGUAAG
rnacentral:rRNA from 1 species